UGACGAGUUUGAUCCUGGCUCAGAUUGAACGCUGGCGGAAUGCUUUACACAUGCAAGUCGAACGGUAGAGGGGGCAACCCCUUGAGAGUGGCGAACGGGUGAGUAAUAUACCGGAACGUGCCCAGUCGUGGGGGAUAACGUAGUGAAAGUUACACUAAUACCGCAUACGAUCUACGGAUGAAAGCGGGGGACUCGCAAGAGCCUCGCGCGAUUGGAGCGGCCGAUAUCAGAUUAGGUAGUUGGUGGGGUAAAGGCUCACCAAGCCAACGAUCUGUAGCUGGUCUGAGAGGACGACCAGCCACACUGGAACUGAGACACGGUCCA
rnacentral:rRNA from 1 species